rnacentral:rRNA from 1 species
UGUAUAAUGGGUCAGCGACUUAUAUUCUGUAGCAAGGUUAACCGUAUAGGGGAGCCGCAGGGAAACCGAGUCUUAACUGGGCGUUAAGUUGCAGGGUAUAGACCCGAAACCCGGUGAUCUAGCCAUGGGCAGGUUGAAGGUUGGGUAACACUAACUGGAGGACCGAACCGACUAAUGUUGAAAAAUUAGCGGAUGACUUGUGGCUGGGGGUGAAAGGCCAAUCAAACCGGGAGAUAGCUGGUUCUCCCCGAAAGCUAUUUAGGUAGCGCCUCGUGAACUCAUCUUCGGGGGUAGAGCACUGUUUCGGCUAGGGGGUCAUCCCGACUUACCAACCCGAUGCAAACUACGAAUACCGAAGAAUGUUAUCACGGGAGACACACGGCGGGUGCUAACGUCCGUCGUGAAGAGGGAAACAACCCAGACCGCCAGCUAAGGUCCCAAAGUCAUGGUUAAGUGGGAAACGAUGUGGGAAGGCCCAGACAGCCAGGAUGUUGGCUUAGAAGCAGCCAUCAUUUAAAGAAAGCGUAAUAGCUCACUGGUCGAGUCGGCCUGCGCGGAAGAUGUAACGGGGCUAAACCAUGCACCGAAGCUGCGGCAGCGACACUAUGUGUUGUUGGGUAGGGGAGCGUUCUGUAAGCCGUUGAAGGUGGCCUGUGAGGGUUGCUGGAGGUAUCAGAAGUGCGAAUGCUGACAUAAGUAACGAUAAUGCGGGUGAAAAACCCGCACGCCGGAAGACCAAGGGUUCCUGUCCAACGUUAAUCGGGGCAGGGUGAGUCGACCCCUAAGGCGAGGCCGAAAGGCGUAGUCGAUGGGAAACAGGUUAAUAUUCCUGUACUCGGUGUUACUGCGAAGGGGGGACGGAGAAGGCUAUGUUGGCCGGGCGACGGUUGUCCCGGUUUAAGCAUGUAGGCGGAUG